rnacentral:pre_miRNA from 1 species
GAUUUCAACUGAAAAAGUCAUCAACAACAAUGUUGUAUAACUCAUCAAGAUCUAUAACUUUUAUUUGGGUCAUUUCUUCGUUCGACUAGUGAUUAGUAACAUUGUUCACAAAAUGUACAUACCUGUUAUACCUUUAUAAACAAUAAGAGAGAUAUGUAGAUUUUGUGAACAAUGUUACAAAUCACUUCGUCGGAUGAAGAAAUGAUCAAAAUAAAAGUUAUAAAUAUUGAUGAUUUAUACAACUUUGUUAUUGAUGACUUUUUGAGUUGAAAUC